rnacentral:tRNA from 2 species
GCCGGGGUAGCUCAGCUAGGUAGAGCAGCGGGCUGUUAACCCGCCGGUCACAGGUUCGAAUCCUGUCCCCGGCGCCA